rnacentral:piRNA from 1 species
AAACUCAAAAACCCACAGAUUGGUUUC